GGAGAGCUCCUCCACGGGGAGCUAAAACCUAACAUCAAUUGACACAGAAAGAUGAUUUUCGGGAUCGCCUCACCCUCCGGCUUGUUUAGAGGUUGUUGCCGUCCUCAGUGAGUGUGAGAGUGGCUUAUAAAUAGGAUCAGUGUCUGAGGCUUGAGCAAUGGGAAGAAUGGAGUUGUCAUCAACCAAAAGAGGAGAAACUUCCAGUGGAGUGAUCUUGGAGUGAAAGUUUUGAACUCAGUUUUGGUCAUGUUAAGCUUUUGAAAAUCUUGCCGUUUAUGAUUGCCUUGUGAGGCGGCCUAGAAUGGUGGUUACAAGCUCAGAUCCUAGAAUCAGACAACCGUGUUCAGUAUGAUUUCAUCACUACUGGCUGCAAGAAAUUGGAUUAAGUCCUUAAUCUCUAUAGGGAUUCAUUUUCCUUCUUUACAAAAUUGUAACAAUAUUAUUUUCUAUCUCACAAAAUUGUGGUGAAGAUUAAAAGACAUAAACCAUGCAAAAUAUAUCCCUUUCCUCAGGGACUGACAUCUUAUCCAUCCACUCAACCAUAAAUCUGAGAGUCAUUCCAGAUGCUUUCCCUUCUCUACUCCACUCCCUAACAUUGCAAGUCCUGUCAAUUCACAGUUCUGAAACUUCUAUCAUCCAAAGUCAUCUCCCUAUCUCAUCACCUGCCUACACUGCUUUCAUCAAUAAUUUCCUAAUUUGCC
rnacentral:lncRNA from 1 species